GACGAACGCUGGCGGCGUGCCUAAUACAUGCAAGUAGAACGCACAGUUUAUACCGUAGCUUGCUACACCAUAGACUGUGGGUUGCGAACGGGUGAGUAACGCGUAGGUAACCUGCCUGGUAGCGGGGGAUAACUAUUGGAAACGAUAGCUAAUACCGCAUAAUAUUGAUUAUUGCAUGAUAAUUGAUUGAAAGAUGCUAUUGCAUCACUACCAGAUGGACCUGCGUUGUAUUAGCUAGUAGGUGAGGUAACGGCUCACCUAGGCGACGAUACAUAGCCGACCUGGGAGGGUGGUCGGCCACACUGGGACUGAGACACGGCCCAGACUCCUACGGGAGGCAGCAGUAGGGAAUCUUCGGCAAUGGACGAAAGUCUGACCGAGCAACGCCGCGUGAGUGAAGAAGGUUUUCGGAUCGUAAAGCUCUGUUGUAAGAGAAGAACGGGUGUGAGAGUGGGAAGUUCACACUGUGACGGUAUCUUACCAGAAAGGGACGGCUAACUACGUG
rnacentral:rRNA from 1 species